CCCUUAGAUGUUCUGGGCCGCACGCGUGCUACACUGAGUAAAUCAAUGGGUAAGGGAACACGAAAGUGCAACCUAAUCUUGAAAUUUGCUCGUGAUGGGGAUCGACGGUUGCAAUUUUCCGUCGUGAACGAGGAAUACCUUGUAGGCGCGUGUCAUCAUCACGCGCCGAAUACGUCCCUGCCCUUUGUACACACCGCCCGUCGCUCCUACCGAUUGAGUGAUCCGGUGAGGCUCUGGGACCUGGACGGAAAGAGCGUUUCGCUUGUUCUGUUUGGGAAACUUGGUCGAACCUUAUCGUUUAGAGGAAGGAGAAGUCGUAACA
rnacentral:rRNA from 1 species